AUGGGAACGCGAAGAACCUUACCUAGACUUGACAUCUUCUGCAUUAAUCGUAAUGGAUGAAAUCCCUUCGGGGACAGAAUGACAGGUGGUGCAGGGUUGUCGUCAGCUCGUGUCGUGAGAUGUUGGGUUAAGUCCCGCAACGAGCGCAACCCUUAUUACUAGUUGCUACCAUUAAGUUGAGCACUCUAGUGAGACUGCCCGGGUUAACCGGGAGGAAGGCGGGGAUGACGUCAAAUCAUCAUGCCCCUUAUGUCUAGGGCAACACACGUGCUACAAUGGUGAGUACAGAUAGAUGCGAUACCGCAAGGUGGAGCCAAACUCUAAAACUCAUCCCAGUUCGGAUUGUAGGCUGCAACUCGCCUACAUGAAGUUGGAGUUGCUAGUAAUCGCGAAUCAGAAUGUCGCGGUGAAUACGUUCCCGGGUCUUGUACACACCG
rnacentral:rRNA from 1 species